GCCGACAUGGCUCAAUGGUUGAGCAUCGACCUAUAAACUGGGAGGUCCUGGUUUGAUUCCUGGUCAGGGCA
rfam:Myotis davidii contig321457, whole genome shotgun sequence.